UUUUACAAUGGAGAGUUUGAUCCUGGCUCAGGAUGAACGCUAGCGGCAGGCCUAAUACAUGCAAGUCGAGGGGUAGAUGGAGCUUGCUCCAUUGAGACCGGCGCACGGGUGCGUAACGCGUAUGCAACCUACCUUUAUCUGGGGGAUAGCCCGGAGAAAUUCGGAUUAAUACCGCAUAAAAUCACAGUAUCGCAUGAUACAAUGAUCAAACAUUUAUGGGAUGAAGAUGGGCAUGCGUGUCAUUAGUUAGUUGGCGGGGUAACGGCCCACCAAGACGACGAUGACUAGGGGAUCUGAGAGGAUGACCCCCCACACUGGUACUGAGACACGGACCAGACUCCUACGGGAGGCAGCAGUAAGGAAUAUUGGUCAAUGGAGGCAACUCUGAACCAGC
rnacentral:rRNA from 1 species